AUGGGGUCACCUCGAGCAUAUUACACAGGGUUGCAGCAGCAAGGAUCCCCCUUGCUGAAGCCGGGGCGUUGGAUUUAUGUCUCCUGCAAGGGAACCGGAUUCGACUUCAGCAGCUUCCGCAUGUGGUGGAUCCGGCAGGCGCCCGGCAAGGGGCUCGAGUUUGUCGCUCUUAUUAGCAGCGAUGGUAGCACCUGGUACGCGGAUGCGGUGAAAGGGCGCUUCACCAUCUCCAAGGACAACGCGCAGAGCACGCUCUACCUGCAGAUGAACAGCCUCAAGGCCGAGGACACCGGCACCUACUACUGCGCGAAAGCUGGUGCUGGUGCUGGUAUUGGUGGUGGAGAUGCUGUUUGA